ensembl:lncRNA
GAAGCAAGAGGUUUAUGUAAUACAGUGAUUCCACAGUCCAGUGUUACCCUUUAAAUCACCACCUCAUUUACUGCUGGUCAAACCUCUGGGUGAAGCACAGCUGUAUCAGACGCAGUGAUGGUGAAGACGGCGACUGCUGUACUGUCGGCACUGCUGCUGUGUGUGGGGGGCGCACUGGCGCAGGACUUCAUGUCGCCGAACGUGAACAUUAUGGAAGAACUGGGGAAACUGAAGAACAUGGAAGAACGACUGAGAACCUUGGAAGAAACUGUGCAGAACCAGAGGGUCUUGGUGGAGCAACUGCAGAAGGAGAAUGGAGCCCUGAAGACAACGGUGGAAACGAUGCAGGCUAAACUGGAAUCACUGGAGAGCAGUAAACCAGGUGGUGAUAAAGACUGGUGAGAUGUGUGUGAACGUCUUCCUGCUGCAGCUUUUACUGAAACACACAAAACUGCAGAGCGACUGGAACGACCUGUAACUGCUGUACCUUUAAGCGUUACUGUAACGUUUCUCAGAACGUCUGAUUAAAAAUAGAUCCUGAAUAAACAACUGUGGACAACUGUGGUUCUUUCUUCUCAUCAUAGCAUGUUUCCUGUGUGAUCUUUAAUGGUUCUGAUGUUUUACACUUGCAGUGGAAGAAUCAUAUUUAUUAUUAUUAUAAUGUCUGACGGAUCAAAAUGGUUACGGUAGGAUAUUUUGGCAAUGCAGCACAAUUAGUC